rnacentral:lncRNA from 1 species
AUGGUUCCACCUGGUCCCAACUUUCAAGAACAGCCUUGGUUUCUUCAUCUCCCACCCUUCCCAGCUUUGGACCCUAUGCUGUGUGGGUGCUGCAGAACUCCUUUCUCACUUUCUCCAAGACGUCUCCCUGGCUCUUCCCAAGCAGGUCACAUCGCUGUCGUGCUUCCUCCUGGGUCACAAACUCCUUGCCAGCACUUAUCCGGAGUGGGGUGAAAUCGCUCAGUAGCCCACAGGCAGCCUGCAAGACUCCUGCAAGGGCAACCAGAAGUGCUGCUUCUCCAGCCGCAGAGGAACAAUGCAGGUAUCAGAGGCGGUGGCAAUGGCAACAAUAAGGUAAUAAUAUUCAUAAUAAUAAUAGUAAGUGCCAUUUACCACCGUUAUAUUGUUGAAUGGUCACCACAGCCCUGACAGAGUAGCUGUGAUUACUUAGUUAUAGAUGAAGAACCCAAGAAAGUAGUACGAGGUCACACGAGAAGAACCAGAAUCAAAACCGAGUUAUCUGCACAUCUCAUCUCCAGACCAUGUGCUUCCCACCUUCCAUCUCCUCUGUGUGAAAGCUUUUCAGCCCCAGUAGGAGGCAACCAUCUACUUUCCCUGAACCACUUUCUAUACAGGCUCCCCAAGCCAGACAGUGAAUCCACUGGUAUUCAAGAAGACAGGCUGUGUGCACAGUGCCACAACAGGCUACUAGGGGCUCUUUCCUUUUUUUUGGUCGGGGGUACUAGGGAUCAAACUCAGCAAGGCAGGCAGCAAAAUCUCUAAGCUAAAUCCCUGGCCCUUCUCUUUCCUAUUUCUGAAUGGAUGUGCCUUAUGCGGGACACCUCAGUAUAUGCUCAUAAAAGUUAUCAACAUCUCUCUAAAAUUGAAUGGAAAUAGGUUUUUGAAUAAAGAUGUUUAUUCUCUACCAGGUACUUAGCAUUUUUAUGUGACAGAAAAUGUUAAUUACAUAAACAAG